rnacentral:lncRNA from 1 species
UUCUAAUGCUUCUUCCCUGGCAACACUCAGCUCUUUUGCAGAAUGGAACAGUUGAAGAUACGAGACAAUUCUGUGAAAAAUGUUUCUGACCUGAUCCAAAACAUGAGCCUCCCUUGGAGUGUGUCUGCUGUGGGCAAUCAGAACAGCAGCAUGGAUCCCAGUGUGUGCACAAUGCAGUUCAAGCUCUGGAUGAACCCACUUGGACACCAGGGACCCUUCAGGAAAGACAAAUGAAUCUGCUGAUGAGAUCCAUGCAGCAUAGCUGAUUGUCAGAAGUGUUGGUAACAUGACAAAUAUUCCCACUCUGCAACUAUGAACAUUUGGAUUAAAGAAAGCAUCCUGCAAAAACACCUGUACAGGAGUUGUUGA